rnacentral:rRNA from 1 species
AAAUUGAAGAGUUUGAUCAUGGCUCAGAUUGAACGCUGGCGGCAGGCCUAACACAUGCAAGUCGAACGGUAACAGGAAGCAGCUUGCUGCUUUGCUGACGAGUGGCGGACGGGUGAGUAAUGUCUGGGAAACUGCCUGAUGGAGGGGGAUAACUACUGGAAACGGUGGCUAAUACCGCAUAAUGUCGCAAGACCAAAGAGGGGGACCUUCGGGCCUC